ensembl:lncRNA
AUUUUAACUAAAACCGUAUUUCUAUUUAUUUUGUGUGAGGAGCUAGUCAUUCUAAAGGUUCUACCAUAUCUCUACACAUUCCUGACUAGAGUGAAUGCAUAUAGCUUUUAAAAAAAUAUAUACUUUCAUAACUUUUUUCUCACACAGUCUCAAUUUUUCCAAAUCUAAGAGGUUCAAUGAAUUUAACAUAGUCUCUUUCUCUCCUACAAGUUCCGUCAAAGCUGCAUCACCUUCCGUUUACAAGUUAAUGUUAAGAAUCAGAACCUCAUAAAAAGGGAUCUUGUAAAGAGAGGACAACACCAGAUCAACUCAAUUAAGAGGUUGACAACCCACGAUACGUCAAAGGAGAUAGCUGAGAAGUGACGUAAGCAUAGUAAUGGAUCUGGACUUGUGGAGAGAAAGAUUUAUUUCUUUGAGGACUGAGUCUUCUCACCAGCCCCUGACACCUCUCUUUCACUUAAUCUCCUUUUGUUCCAUGACAUUCUACAGCCAAAAUGUUGAAUAAUAUUAUCCUUCCUUUUGGGAAAUCAUGAAUCUUCAGGCGUCAAGGAAGUAUGUCUUUCUGUUUUCCUUUUGGAAGAAAAUCAACUGUAUAAUCCUGGAAUCAACCAAACUGAAAAGUUGCUUAUGCAAAUAAUUUGCCUUUAGACAGUUCUGCGCCAAGGUAGAAACACCUUCAAGGUUAUGUCUUGGAAAAAUCCUAGAUAAGGACUGCAAUAUUUAACAUAUUGUAUGUUACUGGAGGACAUCUCUGUAAAUAGUACAGUAGUUUGCAUAUAAGUUUGUUCUAGUAUUGUUUGGCUGCUAAACUAACAACUGCAGAAUCUGUGUCUAGAGAUGGAAUGGAUUUUAGCCCUUUUCCACAUGUACAUGAAUAUGUGCUCUAUCCACUCAGUCUCUCAUCCGGUAAGCAUUUGUGCAUUUCCCACCACAUGCCAAGCUAUAGAUACAGAGAAAGAGGACAGGCUCUGUCCUCAGUGAAGCCCCCUCCCCCCACCCGCCGUAGGAGGAGGUAGGAGGGAAGGAGAGAGAGAUAAGUAAGCCAGUAUCUACUAUUUGUUUUAAAAAGUGCUAUCGUAAUUAUUCAUGAUGUGCUAUGGAAGUACAAAGGAGGGACCCCUAACUCAACCUGAAGAGAGGAAGUGGGUUGUGGAAGAUCAGGGAAGGUGACCUGGCUGAGGUGAUAUAUGGGGUGAAUUUUACAGAUCAGGGAGUUAGAAGGUGGAAAUGGUAUUCCAGAAGAAGAGCAUGUUCAAAGGCAUAGAGGCAGUUCAAGUCAAUGAACAUUUAAUGAAUGUCUGCCAUGUGCCAACCCCAAGAAAGCAUGGAGUGUAGACGGAAUGGCGAAUGGCUAUAUAUGACUGGAGCAUAAAAUACAAAUUGGGAAUUAUUGGGAGGUAGAACUGGAAAGUUUGGCAGAAGCCAGAUCUUGAAGAACCUUGUACACCAUGCUAAAUAACUUGGACUUAAUCCAUAGAGAGCCCCAAUACUGGAUUUAUGUUUCAGAAAGUUGUACUGGCAUCAGUCUAGAGAAUGAAUUCAGGAAUACUAAUGCUGGAGGCAGGGCAUCCAAUUAGGAGACUAUUAUAAAAAUACAUGCAAGAAUGAGGGCUUAAAUUAAAGCAGCAGCCAUGGAAAUGAGGACAGAUAUGAGAGAGAUUCAAGAGGUGGAAUAGAUAUGUCUAGAAACCUAGGAGUCAUCAUAUACAAAUCUCUCUCCCUUAUCCCCUUUAGCAGUUUUAGUCCUAUUAAUAAAUUAAAGAAAUGUACAGCCCCACGUAAAAAUUCAUGCCACUAAUUUGCAUUUAAACUUGUAUUAGUCACAACCAUUUUUUUUUUAACUGUUCUUUAUUUAAGUUCCUUUUGGUGGUUGUUAGGAAGAUUGGCCCUGAGCUAACAUCUGUGCCAAUCUUCCUCUAUUUUACGUGAGAUGCUGCCACAGCAUGGCUUGACGAGCAGUGCUGUGUCUGCGCCUGGGAUCCAAAUGUGUGAACCCCGGUUGCCAAAGCAGAGCACAUGAACUUAACCACUACACAACCAGGCCAGCCCCUAUUCACAACUAUUUUUAGUUGCACAACUAUUUUAAGUUACAGGAACCUAACUUGAAGUAGCUUAUGUGAAGAGGGGCAUUUAUUUGAAUGAUACCGGGGUUGGUCUCAUCUAGCAUGCAGCUGGAUGUCAGGGACAAAUGAAACCAGAAACUCAAAUGUUACCAGGACACUCAUUUCCUGACAUCUCUCUGAAUGUUGGUGGUAUUUUUCCUACUACAGAUCAGUUUCCUCUAUGUUGCAAGAAAUGGCCAGCAACAAUUUCUGGGCUUUCCAUUCUGUGAUUCCCUCUUCAGAGAGUGACUUCUACUCUAAUCCUAAAAAGGAAUGAUUGGCUCAGCAUGGGACAAGUGCUCUCCCACUGUGGCCACUGUUCUAUGAUAGGCAGCCACCACUAGAACUAUUGAGCUCCAGAUAUGUGUGUGUUUGAGAGGGUAUGCUUAGAGAACAGCCUGCAACUGGAGGGAGGGGCAGGAGAGACAAAAUUAAACAUGGCCACCAAAACUUUGUUAUCAAAUCCAAUAGAUUUCAUCCAGUACCUUUUCUUUGACUUCUGUGCUAUAACUGAUGGUAGUGACCAUGUUUACUUUCUGGAAAACUUCUUCCUUAGCUUCUGUUACUGUUUUCCCUCUGACUUCAUGUUCAUUCUACAUUCCAAAACUGAUUCCCCUUCCUUUUCUUGCCCCUCACAGUUAAUGAUGUUCAAAACUCAGUCCAUGAUAUUCUGAUCAACAGAUCUUAAACUUUUGCUAGGUAGAUCUCAAGCUGGUUGCUGCCACCACAUUCCUAUGUCUUUACUUUUUCUGAGUAUGCAACAGGCAAGGGAAGAGUGCAGUUGGCUGUGCCACUUCUCUUCCAGUUUCCACCAGACACUUUGCCACCAGCUCAUAUCUCUGUUGAUCUCUUGGAUUAAGAGGAGUAAAGAGCCAGUCUUUUCAGAAAGACUCGAUUCCCCCACUGUACAUUCAGAAAAUCCAUUAUUCCUAUGGUUUUAGUAAUGUCUCUCUGUGAAUGACUAUUUCCUAACUAUCCUACUUCCAGGAUAUGUCUUGUGAUCUAGUCAGCCUGGUCUUAUUAUCCCAUGGACACUCCAAGCAUAGUCCUACCUCCUUGUCUUUGUUCCUGUCCUCCUCCCAACAAUCCAUGUACUAUUCAUGUAUCAAAGCCCAGCUUAAAUUCUCUCUUCCAUAAAGACUUUCCCGGCCACUCCAUCCCUUUUGGUCUCUUUCUCUCUACUGAUGCCCUAUUCCAGCUUAUAGUUUCUAUUACUUGAUUAAAUUUAUCAAUUAAAUUUUUCAUUUUUUGUUAUUUUGUAAUUUUUGAAGAGUGUUAUGUGGAAAGAGCUGGAUUCUUUUUAACUUAAUGAGAUAUAUUUGGCAUAUAACGUUCUACUUGUUUGAGGUGUACAGCAUAAUGAUUUGAUAUAUGUGUAUAUUGUGAAAUGAUCACCAUAAGUUUAGGUAACAUCAUCUCUCCACACAUAGUUGCAAAUUUAUUUUUUCUUGUAUGAUGAGAACUUUCAAGAUCUGAUCUCUUAGCAACUUUUGAAUAUACAAUACAGUAUCAUUAACUAUAGUCACUAUGCUGUAAAUUAUACUCCUAGGACUUAUAUAUCUUAUUAUUGGAAGUUUGUACCUUUUGAGUACCUUCACCCAUUUCCUCCACCCCCCUACUCCACCUCUAGCAACCACCAAUCUAAUCUCUUUAUCUAUGAAUUUUUUAUCCCAUAUAUGAAUGAAAUCAUACAGUAUUUGUCUUUCUCUGUCUGACUUAUUUCACUUAGCUAAUGCCCUCAAGACCAUCUAUGUUGUCACAAAUGGCAGGUUUUUCUUCUUUUUUCUGGCUGAAUAGGAUUCCAUUGUAUAUGUGUAUAUAUCAUAUUUUCUUUAUCCAUUCAUCUGUUGAUGGACACUUACGUUAUUUCCACGUAUUGGCUAUUGUAAAUAGUGCCACAAUGAACAUGGGGGUCCAGAUGUCUUUUCAAAAUAAUGAUUUCAUUUCCUUUGGAUAAAUAUCCAGAAGUGGAAUUGCUGGAUCACAUGAUAGUUUUAUUUUCAAUUUUUGAGGAACCUCCAUAUUGUUUUCUAUAGUGGCUGCACCAAUUCACAUUACCACCAACAGUGCACAAGAGUUCCCUUUUCUCCACAUCCUCCCCAACACUUAUUUCUUGUUUUUGAUGAUAGGCAGUUUAACAGAUGUGAGGUGAUAUGUCAUUGUCUUCUUGAUUUGCAUUUCCCUGAUGAUUAGUAAUGUUGAGCACCUUUUCAUGUUCCUUUGACCAUUUGUAUGGAUUCUGAUACCAGCGUUGAUACUAGUUAGGAAUAUAAAAUUGGGCAAGUUACUUGACCUCUCUUUGAGGUGGUUUUCACACAUGUAGAAUGAAGGGCACUGACUUGAUUCUAGAAAACAAAGGAAAAUGUUACAGGUUUGAUUCCAUAGGAAUUCAAAAUUCCUGUGAAGCAAAAUGCAUGACAAGAAAAGUUAAAAGACAUACAACUGGUGAAAAUAUGUGUAACAUAUAUGCUACUAUAAAAGUGCCUUCAAACAAAUAACCCAGGAGAGAAUUACAAUUCACAAAAGAAAUUACACAAAUGACUAGUAGCCACCUGAAAAGGUGCUCAUUCCCCACUAGUAUUAGGGACUUUCAAAUUAAAAUAGCCACGAGAAGGCAUUCCUCUCCCCAAGAAAGGUUUACAUUCUAUCUAGAGUUAGAGAAUAUAGGACCACAAAAGCACCUUUUUUAUGAGAGUAUAAAAUGAUAUAGCUUUAUACUCUGAAAAUGUUAAAUGUACAUUUGAUUUAUCAAAUUCAUCUCCAGGACUGGAUCCUGCAAAUACACUUGGACAAGGAUAUAGAUAGAUGGAUAGCUAGCUAGCUAGCUAGCUAGCUAGCUAGAUAUAGAUCUAUAUACUGUCCUAAUAGCAGCACAAUUUGUAGUAUUAUAAAUAAUAUAAAUUCCCAUCAAUAGGAAAAUGCUAGGGAAUCACUGAAAAGAGUGAGAGAGGGCUGCAUUCAGCUGCAUUUGCAGCCAUGAAUAGCUAUCAAUAAUUUUGCAAGUUGCAAAACCAUACAAUAUGAUCUCAUUGAAAAAAAAAGAAAGUAUCAUGUAUUUAAAUAUAUACUUAAAACUUCAUCAAUCUGUUUAUGUGCCUAGAAGAUUAUUUCGAAGGAGUCACACCAGAGUUACAAAGAGCUACCUCUAGGGAGUAGGAGUAAGAGGAAAUGAAGGGAGGAAUUUUCCCUUUUGAAACAUGGCUACAAUUGUUAAGAUUAUCUGUUUUUAAUAUGUUAAUCUUAUCUCUCUAAUUAGUUAACUCUUUGGCUUUGGAUAAUGUCAUCUCUUCCUCAUAGCACUUACCAUGGUGCUGAUCAUUUAAGCCCUUGACUCCAUUCUCUUCUUGCUUGCAUGGUUCCUGAUUAGUAGUCUGCUGUAAAUUUUUUUUUUUUUUUUUUGGCUGAGGAAGAUUAGCCCUGAGCUAAUAUCUGUUGCAAUCUUCCUCUUUUUGCUUGAGGAAGAUUGUCACUGAACUAAUAUCUGUGCCAAUCUUCCUCUAUUUUAUGUGAGACACUGCCACAGCAUUGCUUUUUUUUUUUUCUAAAGAUUGGCACUUGAGCUAACAACUAUUGCCAAUCUAUUUUUUUUUCUUUCUGCUUCUUCUCCUCAAAUUCCCCCAGUACAUAGUUGUAUAUUAUUAAUUGUGGGUCCUUCUAGUUGUGGCAUGUGGGAUGCCACCUCAACGUGGCCUGAUGAGUGGUGCCAUGUCCGUGCCCAGGAUCCAAACCAGCGAAACCCUGGGCCGCCACAGCAGAGCGUGAAAACUUAACCACUCGGCCAGGGGGCUGGCCCCUACACACAGCAUUGCUUGAUGAGUGGUACUAGGUCUGUGCCUAGGAUCUGAACCUGUGAGCCCCAGGUUGGUGAAGCAGAGUGCAUAAACUUAAGAACUACAUCACCUGGCUGGCCCCCAACCUUCCUCUUUUAUUGCUCAAGGAAGAUUAGCCCUGAUCUAACAUCUGUGGCAAUCUUCCUCUAUUUUAUAUGUGGAUUACUGCCACAACAUGGCUGAUGAGUGGUGUAGGUCCGUGCCUGGGAUCCGAACCCAUGAACCUGGGCUGCAGAAGUGGAGUGCACCAAACUUAACCACUAGGCACCAGGGCUGGCCCCUAGUCUGUUGUAAUUUUUAUCCUUAUUCCUCUAUACUAAGGUUCUCCCCCACCCUCCUGUAGCUUCUUUCAAGAUUUUCUUUUCAUCUUUGUUUUUUUACAGUUUGAAUAUUAUAUGUCUAGGUGUGGAUUUUUUUGGUAUUUAUUCUAUUUAGUAUUCUUUGAGCUUCCUGGAUCUUUAGUUUGGUGUCUGUCAUCAAUUUUGAAAUAUUCUUGGUCAUUAUUACUUCAGAUAUUUCUUCUGCUCUGUUCUCUCUUUCUUUUCCCUCUGGUAUUCCAAUUGUGUGUUGUUAUACCUUUUGAAAUUGUCUCACAGUUUUGGAUGCUCUUGCCUUUUUCAUUCUUUUUGUCUCUUUGCAUUUCAGUUUGGGAAGUUUUUAUUGACAUCUCUUCAAGCCCACUGAGUGGCUUUGAUUUCUAGCAUUUCCUUUUGAUUCUUUCUUAGAGUUUCUAUCUCUAUGCUUACAUUAUCCAUGUGGUCUCAUUCAUUGUCUUUUUUUUUUUUUUUUUUUUUGCCUUAGAGCUCUUAACAUGUUAAUCACAGUUAUUUAUAUUUCCCUGUGUGAUAAAAAAUAUAUGUCAUAUCUGAGUUUGGCCUGACACUUGCUUUGUCUUUUCAAACUGUGCUUUUUCUUGCCUUUUAACAUGGUUUGUGGGUUUUUUUUUUGAAAAUCAAACAUUAUACAUCAGGUAAUAGUAACUGUGGUAAAUAGGCUUUUAGUGUGAGGUUUUAAUCUUAAUCUGGCUAGGAGUUGGGCGGUGUUUAACAUUUUCUGCAGCUGUAGAUGCCAAAGGCUUCAAAUUUCUCUAGCAUCCAGCUUUUGUAUCUUCUGUUGUUUUAAGGCUUCACUAAUGACUCUUUCUCAAAUAGAGUCUGUGUCUUGCAGCUCUUUCAGCUAUAAUCCACUGCUAUUCUACUGGAACCCUGAUGGUGUGGUGGUGAAGUGUAGGGGAAGCAAAGUGUUCUAUAAUCUUAUGAUUGAGUCUCAGUCUUUUAGUGGCUGUGUCCCUGGAUGUGACCUUCACAAGUAUCUCUUAGCGCCCCUGAACUUUUGGUGAGGCAGGAAAGCUACACAGGGUUGGAGUUGGAGAAAUGCCCUUCCCCCAGGUCAAAUAAGUCUCUGGACAGGAGAGGGAGGCUCUGGGUGUAUUUCACAAUGGUCACUUUUCCCCUCUCCCUGCCACAGCCUUGAGAGAAUCUUUCUUAGUUUUUUACCCUAAGAACCUGAUGAGGUUUCUGGAGGUAAACUCACAGAAGUGUGGACUCCCCUAAGGCUGCAGCCCCCAAGGGAUUCUCAAUCCUGUGCUACUCCAUCCUCAGCCUCCAGCAUUCAUCAAAUUUACCAUUUAAUUGUCCCUACCAAUUUAUGGCUCUAGCACUUCUCUUCCAGGUAAGCAGAUCUCAGCCGUUACACUCUGGGUUUUUUCAUCUUGCCAGAUUUCAAGGUGACAGAUAGUCUUGCAUCCUCAAUUCUCUAAUGAGUCCAAGAAAAGACAUUGAUUUUCCAUUUGUUUAGCUUCUUGCUUGUUGUCAAGAGGAGAGCGAUGACUUCCAAGCUCUUCACAUGUUGGAGGUGGAAUGUGCUGAGCGCUUAGUAGCCAUUAAAUAAACUGUUUAUUAGACAGUAAAAUUUUGUGUAUUUGUUUAAGAACUAAUUUUUUGUUCUAGGAAUUGCCAGCUUACAAAAAAAAAAAAUAACAUUUAAUGAAAAAUUAAAGCUGUCUUCCAAAACUUAGAAAGUUAUAAUGUGAAAGAAAGAUUUGAUUUGUUAUCAAUGGCAUCAAAAGAUCUAUUAGUGGAAAUUUUAUAUUUGUAGGCAGAGCAUAACUCAAUACAAGAACCUUCUAGCAAAAUUAUUCAACAAUGUUGGAAGUGUAGUUUAUGAAUUUCAGCAUCCAUUUCUAAUUGUGAAUUGAUUUGGGAAUACCACUGAAUUUUUCCUACUCCCCUAGGUGACUUUGUGAAAGCAGAAGCUAAGUGAAAAAUGCCCAGGUACUUACAGUAAAGGAUAAACUAUCUUGGAUGAGAGGUGGUACUAUAUAACUUCCAGUGUGGAGAUUCUUUGAUUUUCACACAAUGCAUCCUUUAAUCUCCCAAAGGAGGAAAACAUCCGUUAAUUUCUGUCUAAAGAGAGUUUAAAUCCAUUUACACACUAAAAAUGGUGACGGCCUUUGAGGAAGCUGAUGUACAGUGUCCUGAACCCCAUUCUCGGUUUGCAUGGUUUGGCAUGGAGUCCCUUUGCAGCAAGAGAUGGUGCGUGUGUUACCAGCCCACCAGCCCCUAGGCCCCUAGCCAUGUGUCUAAAUGAGGCCCCAGUGGGCAAACUUACAUGUAUGUAUAGUGCUGGUAUGUUAUGAUGUUGCUCACAAGUGUGCCUGUGAGGCAGAGGAGAGAGACUAUGCCUUGUGCACAAGCUCCUGUGAAGUGACUUUCCGCUUAUGUGGGUACUUAUGUGUGGGGAAGAGAUAGGUUCAAGAUGUCUUAAAAUUUAUGGCCAUUGCUGGGAAACUGCUGUUUCUAGCAAGCUUGCUAAAAUAUAAAGCUUGUCUGCAGUAUGGUUACUUUGUAUUGCUUUUCACUAAAAGCCUUAUUGUUAAUAAUAAAAGAGGGAAAGACCUUGGUUGGUUGUUUUACAUCUUUCUGUUUUAUUUUGAAGAAACAUUCAUGUUCCCAAAGGUUAAAAAAUAAAUCCAGUCUUUUAAAAGUUGUUUUUAAGGGCUAAGAAAUACCAUUUUGAAAUAAUAAUGUUUCUGAAUUUUAUGUAAUUCACGUUUUCUAAACUCUCCACAGUUCAUUGGUUUUUUCCUCUAAUCAACCCAAGAUAUCAUUAUGAAUAUAUUUUUAUAUAUUCCAGGAAGUACUUAUAUUGACUUCAAUAUACUUAUUGAAGAGCUGAACCCAGAAAAUUUAGGUUUUUGCCCAAGUCACAUUUGAUUGUUAGUGGCAGAGUUGAUAGGUUUUAUGUAAAGUGAUCCUUUCUUAGCACUCAUAAUUUUAAAAUUUUUAAAUUAAAGUGUAAUUUACAUACAUCAAAAUUCACCUUUUUUAGUGUUCAGUUCUGUGAUCAUGUAGCCAUGAUCAAAAUGUAGACUAUUUCCAUUAAACAAAAAAAUUCAACCUUGCCCUUUUAAAGUUUUAUGUUUGACUUUUAGGUUUAUGGUCCAUUUUCAGUUGAUUUUUGUGAGGAAGUUAUUUUGUUAUUUUGUGAGGAUCUAGUUAUUUUACUUUUUUUAUUCUUCCCACUCUCCCUCCCUCUUCCUUUCCUCCUUCCUUCCUUUCUAAGGUGGAUAUCUAAUUAUUCAAGGACCAUUUGUUGAAUUGUUUUUUUGCUGUUGUUGAAAAUCAAUUCACUGUAUAUGUGCAUAUCUAAAAUUUCUAAGUUCUUGCUUCUAUUUCAUUGAUCUAUAUGUCUAUAAACUCAUAAAUUUUAGAUUUGUUAUUGUGGUUAAGACCUAAUACUUACUGCCAUCAUUAUCUCACUAUUUACUUAAGCUGGGACAUGCCAAAAAAGUACAAAGCAAAGCUCUGUGUAUAUAUGAAGAGAGACUUUAAAAUGUCUUAGGUAACUGUAACUCAUUGACAUUUAUAUUUCAGGGGUAAAAUACAGAGAUUACAUUUGGAUCAACACCUUUGGUACUUAUAUCCUGAAACUAAUUAUGUUGCCAGUAUAAUGAAAUGAAAAUGUUAACAUGUUUAAACCUGUCAUAUGAAAAUAUUUCAGAUAUCACAAACCAUUUAUGCCACCCUGGUUGUCUCUGGUCCCAUAAUUACUUUCUAGUUUCUAGAGAAUCUGUUUCAAUAUUAAAAGUAUUCAAGAAUAAAACAUUACUAAGAAAGUAGAGAUAGAUAUUUCUUUCCCUGAACUCCUAGUAAAAGUCUCUGUUUUUGUCUAACUUCAUCUUGUCUGGCCUGAGUUUGAGUUGCAGAGUGUGCAUCAAGAUUGCAGGAACCCCAGCUUCUCCCUUUCCUACAUGCAAAGCAAGACUUCUUUGGUUAUUUUGACAAGAACUGUAUUCCACCAGGUUUUUUGUUUCUAAACUUUCUCACCAAGCCCAUAUUUAGCUGUAGGUAAAUUUUGUCUCUAUUGUUGGGGGUGGUGAGGGCUCAGGGAGUAAGAAAUGGAACACCAGCCACUAAAAACUAUGCUCCUUAUACCUCCAGGGGCUGGGAUUCUAAAUUAAUCACUCACUCCUGGGGAUAACCAUUGCUGUGAAAGGGAGAAGAACGAGAGGGCAAGUUUUUUACCUUGACCCAGAGAACCCUGAUCUAGUCCAUUCUCUUCCCCAGUGACUCUUAAUCUCAUAACAAUAAGCAUGGUCACUCAUAGACCACAGCUGUCUCCCACUUUGUACAAUGCACAUGGCUGACUGCCAGAUUCCAGAAAGUUGCGGCUGGGCCUAUAGAUAGGGACCUACUAAGGGUCACACACUAGUUUGCCUCCAUUAUACUGCGGUGUUUGCUGCUUGCCAAAGCCUGGCUCCCCCUCUUCCAAUUGACAGCUUGCAGAGUGUGCCUCUGAAGGGACUCUGUCCCAAGAUCCUUUGCCAGCUCCCAGAGAGCAAGGCAUUGCCCUUUCCUUGAUGUCAUUUCCCUCGCUCCCUGAUAAAGUGAGUUGUCCUCCUUACCAUCCCCUCUGCCUAGGUCAGAGCACAACUCGUUAGGCCAACUUUAGGGAUUUACAGAUUUCAUCAGCACUUUCUAACACCCCCCUCUCCCAUCUCAACCCCAUCCCAGUGUUACAACAGACUCUUUUAUCUCCCUUUUCUUGGGGGAAUUACAACAAGCUGGGU